rnacentral:rRNA from 1 species
GACGAACGCUGGCGGCGUGCUUAACACAUGCAAGUCGAACGGACAGGCCCUGCUCUUGUGGGGUGCUCGAGUGGCGAACGGGUGAGUAAAACGUGAGUAACCUGCCCUUGACUUUGGGAUAACUUCAGGAAACUGGGGCUAAAACCGGAUAGGAGCUCCUGCUGCAUGGUGGGGGAUGGAAAGUUCCGGCGGUUGGGGAUGGACUGGCGGGUUAUCCGCUUGUUGGGGGGGUAGUGGCUUUACAAGGCUUUGAGGGGUAGCCGGCCUGAGAGGUGGACCGGCCACAUUGGGACUGAGAGACGGCGCAGUCUGCUACGGGAGGCAGCAGUGGAGAAUAUUGCACAACGGGGGGGAGCCUGAUGCGGCAAUGCCGCGUUCGUGAUGACGUCCUUCGGGGUGUAAACCGCUUUGUCCGGUGACGUAGCGGUAUUGACGGUAAUUGGUAAAGAAGCACCGGCUAACUACGUG